rnacentral:rRNA from 1 species
UACGUAGGGUGCGAGCGUUAAUCGGAAUUACUGGGCGUAAAGCGUGCGCAGGCGGCUUGCCAAGUCAGAUGUGAAAGCCCCGGGCUCAACCCGGGAACUGCGUUUGAAACUGGCAGGCUAGAGUUUGGCAGAGGGGGGUGGAAUUCCACGUGUAGCAGUGAAAUGCGUAGAGAUGUGGAGGAACACCGAUGGCGAAGGCAGCCCCCCUGGGUUAACACUGACGCUCAGGCACGAAAGCGUGGGGAGCAAACAGG